CUACGGGGUGCACCAGUGGGGAAUAUUGGACAAUGGGCGCAAGCCUGAUCCAGCAAUGCCGCGUGAGUGAAGACGGCCUUAGGGUUGUAAAACUCUUUCGCUAGGGAAGAUAAUGACUGUACCUAGUAAAGAAGUCCCGGCUAACUCCGUGCCAGCAGCCGCGGUAAUACGGAGGGGACUAGCGUUGUUCGGAAUUACUGGUCGUAAAGAGUUCGUAGGCGGACUGACAAGUUAGAGGUGAAAUCCCAGGGCUCAACCCUGGAACUGCCUUUAAAACUGUCAGUCUAGAGACCGGAAGAGGUUAGGGGAAUACCUAGUGUAGAGGUGAAAUUCGUAGAUAUUAGGUGGAACACCAGUGGCGAAGGCGCCUAACUGGUCCGGUACUGACGCUGAGGAACGAAAGCGUGGGGAGCAAACAGGAUUAGAUACCCCCGUAGUC
rnacentral:rRNA from 1 species